rnacentral:snoRNA from 1 species
GUACGUGAUGACUAAAAUUUCUUUGCUUUGACCUGAUGUCUGUUGAAGAAAUUAAGUGUUUGAGA